rnacentral:lncRNA from 1 species
UCAAUCAAAUAUAUGUUAUUGUGCCUAACACCUUGCAAAGCAAUUUCAGCAGAAUUUUUAAAAUAAACAGUACAUUUAUCACUCUCAAAAGUUACCUUGAGACCUUUGUCGCAUAGUUGGCUUAUGCUUAGAAGGUUAUGUUUGAGACCUUCAACGUAUAAGACGUCUUUUAUCGUCAAUGUGUUUCCACCUCCAAUGUCUCUGAUUCCCAUUAUUCUGCCUUUGUUGUUAUCCCCAUAAGUUACAAAUCCUUGCUUUUUCUUCUC